AUUGAACGCUGGCGGCAGGCCUAACACAUGCAAGUCGAGCGGCAGCGGGAAAGUAGCUUGCUACUUUUGCCGGCGAGCGGCGGACGGGUGAGUAAUGCCUGGGAAAUUGCCCAGUAGAGGGGGAUAACAGUUGGAAACGACUGCUAAUACCGCAUACGCCCUAAGGGGGAAAGCAGGGGACAGUCGGGCCUUGCGCGAUUGGAUAUGCCAAGGUGGGAUUAGCUAGUUGGGGGGGUAAUGGCCUACCAAGGCGACGGUCCCUAGCUGGUCGGAAGGGGAGAACAGCCACACUGGAACAGAGACACGGUCCAGACUCCUACGGGAGGCAGCAGUGGGGAAUAUUGCACAAUGGGGGAAACCCUGAUGCAGCCAUGCCGCGUGUGUGAAGAAGGCCUUCGGGUUGUAAAGCACUUUCAGCGAGGAGGAAAGGUUGAUGCCUAAUACGUAUCAACUGUGACGUUACUCGCAGAAGAAGCACCGGCUAACUCCGUGCCAGCAGCCGCCGUAA
rnacentral:rRNA from 1 species